rnacentral:rRNA from 1 species
GACGAACGCUGGCGGCGUGCUUAACACAUGCAAGUCGAACGAAGUGGCGAACGGGUGAGUAAUACGUGGGUAACCUGCCCUCCUUUUUGGGAUAAGCCUUGGAAACGGGUUCUACUACCGAAUAAAGGGGGCUGGGCUCGCGGCAUAUCAGCUUGUUGGUGGGGUGAUGGCCUACCAAGGCGGUGACGGGUAGCCGGCCUGAGAGGGGGACCGGGCACAAGGGACGGGCGAUACGGCCAAGGCGCGCAGGGGUGGGAGCAGUGGGGGAUAUGGCGCAAGGGUGGAAAGCCUGAGGCGGCGGAGUCGCGUGGGGGUUGAAGGCUUUCGGGUUGUAAACUUCGGUCGCAAGCGAACGGGUAGGUGGAGAAGAAGCGACGGCUAACUACGUGCCAGCAGCCGCGGUAAUAC